GUCCCUUGAAAGUGGACUGUGUCCAGUCAUUCCCCUAGUUUAGUAACAGAGUUCUCGGUUGUUAUUCAAAGGGUAAAGUAGCCUCAUGUCUAUGACACCUUGUUCCUACCCCUACUCUCCACUACUGUGUCUUACGUCAAUCAAGUUUUGGCUCUACACAUCCCUCAGGAAUGCUCUAAUAUUAAAAGGGAAUUUUUUUUUUUUUUUUUUUUUUGUGCUGGAAGAUAGACUGCUGAGCAGGGAAACGAGCUUUUGUCUAACUGUGGAGAACCAGAGUUAUUACUAACAACAACUCAGUACUGGAAAGGAAAAGUAGAAUGUUUCUCUGUGCAUUGGUAAAGGGUACUUACAGCUUCUAUUUCAGGAAAACUUAAGUGACUUACUUUUCUUUUUCAGAUGUUAUUUUUAAGAAUUAAUGCAAGUUACAAAUUCCACUUGAAAAAACAGUUAUCACACUUAAAUGUAAUAAAUGAUGGAGGACCUCAAAAUGGGUUGGUCACAGCAGACGUAGCUUUUUACACUGGAAAUCUUCAAGCCUUAAAAGG
rnacentral:lncRNA from 1 species